rnacentral:rRNA from 1 species
UACGUAGGGGGCAAGCGUUGUCCGGAUUUAUUGGGCGUAAAGAGCGUGUAGGCGGCCAUUCAGGUCAGCUGUGAAAACUCGAGGCUCAACCUCGAGACGUCGGUUGAAACCGUUUGGCUAGAGUCCGGAAGAGGAGAGUGGAAUUCCCGGUGUAGCGGUGAAAUGCGCAGAUAUCGGGAAGAACACCCGUGGCGAAGGCGGCUCUCUGGGACGGUACUGACGCUGAGACGCGAAACGUGGGGAGCGAACAGG